rnacentral:rRNA from 1 species
GAUGAACGCUGGCGGCGUGCCUAAUACAUGCAAGUCGAGCGAACAGACGAGGAGCUUGCUCCUCUGACGUUAGCGGCGGACGGGUGAGUAACACGUGGAUAACCUACCUAUAAGACUGGGAUAACUUCGGGAAACAGGAGCUAAUACCGGAUAAUAUAUUGAACCGCAUGGUUCAAUAGUGAAAGACGGUUUUGCUGUCACUUAUAGAUGGAUCCGCGCCGCAUUAGCUAGUUGGUAAGGUAACGGCUUAGCAAGGCUACGAUGCGUAGCCGACCUGAGAGUGUGAUCCGCCACCCUGUAACUGCGACACGCUCCAUACUCCUACGGGAGGCAGCAGUAGGUAAUCUUCCGCAUUGGGCGAAAGCCUGACGUAGCAACGCCGCGUGAGUGAUGAAGGUCUUCGGAUCGUAAAACUCUGUUAUUAGGGAAGAACAUAUGUGUAAGUAACUAUGCACUUCUUGACGGUACCUAUUCAGAAAGCCACGGCUAACUACGUG